rnacentral:tRNA from 1 species
GCGCCUGUAGCUCAAUUGGAUAGAGCGUCUGGCUACGGACCAGGAGGUUAGGGGUUCGAGUCCUCUCAGGCGUGCUA